ACGUACACUCCUGCGGGAGGCAGCAGUGGGGAAUAUUGCACAAUGGGCGCAAGCCUGAUGCAGCCAUGCCGCGUGUAUGAAGAAGGCCUUCGGGUUGUAAAGUACUUUCAGCGGGGAGGAAGGCAAUACGGUUAAUAACCGUGUUGAUUGACGUUACCCGCAGAAGAAGCACCGGCUGACUCCGUGCCAGUAGCCGCGGUAAUACGGAGGGUGCAAGCGUUAAUCGGAAUUACUGGGCGUAAGGCGCACGCAGGCGGUCUGUCAAGUCGGAUGUGAAAUCCCCGGGCUCAACCUGGGAACUGCAUUCGAAACUGGCAGGCUUGAGUCUUGUAGAGGGGGGUAGAAUUCCAGGUGUAGCGGUGAAAUGCGUAGAGAUCUGGAGGAAUACCGGUGGCGAAGGCGGCCCCCUGGACAAAGACUGACGCUCAGGUGCGAAAGCGUGGGGAGCAAACAGGAUUAGAAACCCCUGUAGUCCCAU
rnacentral:rRNA from 1 species